AGAGUUCGAUCCUGUCAGGUAUGACGCUGGCGGCAUGUUAACUGAAGUCGAACGGGAAGUGGUUUCCAGGAGAGAAACUGCAGUGAGUAACGCGUAAGAAACCUGCCAUGGGGAGGGGAACAACAACUGGAAAGGUUGCUAAUACCCCGUAGGCUGCAGGAGCAAAAGGAGAAAUCCGCCCAAGGAGGGGCUUCGCGCUGAUUAGCUAGUGGUGAAGGCAAUAGGCUUACCAAGCGGAUGAUCAGUAGCUUGGUCGAGAGGAUUGAUCAGCCACACGGGACUGACACAGGCCCAGACUCCUACGGGAGGCAGCAGUGGGGCAAUUUUCCGCAAUGGCGAAAGCCUGAGGGCAAUGCGCGGGAGGUUGGAAGGCCUACGGGUCGUCAACAUUCUUUUCUCGGAGAAGGAAAACAAUGAACGUAUCUGAGGAAUAAGCAUCGGCUAACUCUGUGCCAGCAGCCGCGGUAAGGACAGAGGAUGCAAGCGUAUCCGGCAUGAUGGGGCGUAACAGGUCUUGUAGGUGGCUUUCAGUCCGCCGUUCAAAUCCCAGGGCCUCAGCCCUGGACAGGCGGUGGAAGACUACCAAGCUGGAGUACGAGUAGGGGCAGAGGGAAUUUCGGUGGAGCAGGUGAAAUGCAUUGAGAUCGGACAAAGAAACACCAACGGCGAAAGCACUUGUGGGCCGACACUGAACAUGGAGAGACGAAAUGUAUUAGGGGAGAGAAAUGGAUUAGAGACCCCCUUAGUAUCUAGCCGUAAAACGGAUGGAUACUAGGUGCUGUGCGAUCGGACCGUGAGUGGGCUGUAGCUAGCGCUGUUACGUAUCCAGACUGGGGAGUACGUUCGCAAGAAUGGAAACUAAAAGGAAUUGACGGGGGCGGCCCCUGACAAGCGGGGGGAGCAUGUGGUUAAUUCGAUGCAAAGCGAAGAACCUUACCAGGGGCCUUGACAUGCCCGAAUCCUCUUGAAAGAGAGGUGGUGCCCUCGGGAACGCGGACAGAGGUGGUGCAUGGCUGUCGCGACUCGUGCCGUAAGGGUUGGUUAAGUCUCGCAACGAGCGCAACCUCGUGUUGUAGUUGCACUAUGAGUUCUGGAACCCUGGAACAGACCGCCGGUGUUAAGCCGGAGGAAGGAUGUAGGGAUAGAGCCAGUCAUCAUGCCCACAUGUAGCCCGGGCGAACACACGUGCUACAAUGGGGCGGGAGAAGGGUCGCGAUUCGCGAGGGUGAUGCAUAACUCCAAAAAAAACACAUCUCGUCAGUUCGGUUGAUAGGCUGCAAUCGCACUGCAUGAAGCGGAAUCGCUCGUAAGAGCAGGUCAGCCAUACGGCAGGUGCACCGUUCCCGGGCCUUGUACACAACCGCCCGUCACCCUAUAGGGCUCCAGGUGAAGUCAUACACUAACGUAAGGAGGGGAUUGCCUAAGGCUAGGCUGCGACUGGAGUAAGUGCGUAAACAAGGGUAGCCGUACUGGAAGUGUGCGCGG
rnacentral:rRNA from 1 species